rnacentral:SRP_RNA from 1 species
CGGAGAUCGGCGGCGGGCGGACGCUUCGCCAACCUGGUCAGGGCCGGAAGGCAGCAGCCACAACGAAUUCCGUUCCGGGUCGCCGUUCGGUCUCCACUC